GAUGAACGCUGGCGGCGCGCCUAACACAUGCAAGUCGAACGAUUAAAGCACCUUCGGGUGUGUAUAAAGUGGCGAACGGCUGAGUAACACGUGGGCAACCUGCCCCUCUCAUUGGGAUAGCCACGGGAAACCGUGGAUAAUACCGAAUACUUCGGGACUUCCGCAUGGAAGACUCGAGAAAGCUCCGGCGGAGAGGGAUGGGCCCGCGGCCUGUUAGCUUGUUGGUGGGGUAAUGGCCUACCAAGGCAAUGAUGGGUAGCUGGGUUGAGAGACCGACCAGCCAGAUUGGGACUGAGACACGGCCCAGACUCCUACGGGAGGCAGCAGUGGGGAAUCUUGCACAAUGGGCGAAAGCCUGAUGCAGCGACGCCGCGUGCGGGAUGAAGGCCUUCGGGUUGUAAACCGCUUUCGGCAGGGACGAGGCGAAAGUGACGGUACCUGCAGAAGAAGCCCCGGCUAACUACGUG
rnacentral:rRNA from 1 species